UGGGGAAUCUUGGACAAUGGGCGAAAGCCUGAUCCAGCAAUGCCGCGUGAGUGAUGAAGGCCCUAGGGUUGUAAAGCUCUUUUACCAGGGAUGAUAAUGACAGUACCUGGAGAAUAAGCUCCGGCUAACUCCGUGCCAGCAGCCGCGGUAAUACGGAGGGAGCUAGCGUUGUUCGGAAUUACUGGGCGUAAAGCGUACGUAGGCGGUUAUUCAAGUCAGAGGUGAAAGCCCGGGGCUCAACCCCGGAACGGCCUUUGAAACUAGGUAGCUAGAAUCUUGGAGAGGUCAGUGGAAUUCCGAGUGUAGAGGUGAAAUUCGUAGAUAUUCGGAAGAACACCAGUGGCGAAGGCGACUGACUGGACAAGUAUUGACGCUGAGGUACGAAAGCGUGGGGAGCAAACAGGAUUAGAUACCCAAGUAGUCCCUGAGCGGGCUGGCAAGGCG
rnacentral:rRNA from 1 species